UGCGGCGUGCCUAAUACAUGCAAGUCGAACGAGUUCUGAUUAUUGAAAGGUGCUUGCAUCUUGAUUUUAAUUUUGAACGAGUGGCGGACGGGUGAGUAACACGUGGGUAACCUGCCCUUAAGUGGGGGAUAACAUUUGGAAACAGAUGCUAAUACCGCAUAAAUCCAAGAACCGCAUGGUUCUUGGCUGAAAGAUGGCGUAAGCUAUCGCUUUUGGAUGGACCCGCGGCGUAUUAGCUAGUUGGUGAGGUAACGGCUCACCAAGGCAAUGAUACGUAGCCGAACUGAGAGGUUGAUCGGCCACAUUGGGACUGAGACACGGCCCAAACUCCUACGGGAGGCAGCAGUAGGGAAUCUUCCACAAUGGACGCAAGUCUGAUGGAGCAACGCCGCGUGAGUGAAGAAGGCUUUCGGGUCGUAAAACUCUGUUGUUGGAGAAGAAUGGUCGGCAGAGUAACUGUUGUCGGCGUGACGGUAUCCAACCAGAAAGCCACGGCUAACUACGUGCCAGCAGCCGCGGUAAUACGUAGGUGGCAAGCGUUAUCCGGAUUUAUUGGGCGUAAAGCGAGCGCAGGCGGUUUUUUAAGUCUGAUGUGAAAGCCCUCGGCUUAACCGAGGAAGUGCAUCGGAAACUGGGAAACUUGAGUGCAGAAGAGGACAGUGGAACUCCAUGUGUAGCGGUGAAAUGCGUAGAUAUAUGGAAGAACACCAGUGGCGAAGGCGGCUGUCUGGUCUGUAACUGACGCUGAGGCUCGAAAGCAUGGGUAGCGAACAGGAUUAGAUACCCUGGUAGUCCAUGCCGUAAACGAUGAAUGCUAGGUGUUGGAGGGUUUCCGCCCUUCAGUGCCGCAGCUAACGCAUUAAGCAUUCCGCCUGGGGAGUACGACCGCAAGGUUGAAACUCAAAGGAAUUGACGGGGGCCCGCACAAGCGGUGGAGCAUGUGGUUUAAUUCGAAGCAACGCGAAGAACCUUACCAGGUCUUGACAUCUUUUGAUCACCUGAGAGAUCAGGUUUCCCCUUCGGGGGCAAAAUGACAGGUGGUGCAUGGUUGUCGUCAGCUCGUGUCGUGAGAUGUUGGGUUAAGUCCCGCAACGAGCGCAACCCUUAUGACUAGUUGCCAGCAUUUAGUUGGGCACUCUAGUAAGACUGCCGGUGACAAACCGGAGGAAGGUGGGGAUGACGUCAAAUCAUCAUGCCCCUUAUGACCUGGGCUACACACGUGCUACAAUGGAUGGUACAACGAGUUGCGAGACCGCGAGGUCAAGCUAAUCUCUUAAAGCCAUUCUCAGUUCGGACUGUAGGCUGCAACUCGCCUACACGAAGUCGGAAUCGCUAGUAAUCGCGGAUCAGCACGCCGCGGUGAAUACGUUCCCGGGCCUUGUACACACCGCCCGUCACACCAUGAGAGUUUGUAACACCCGAAGCCGGUGGCGUAACCCUUUUAGGGAGCGAGCCGUCUAAGGUGGGACAAAUGAUUAGGGUGA
rnacentral:rRNA from 1 species